ensembl:lncRNA
GUUUGAUCACAGAGCGCGCAGUAGCCAUUAGAAAUCAUGCAAAAACCUGAAGCUGUGGAGUAGAGAGGGGUGGGGCCUGCUGGGUUUAUAGGCUGAGAGCCCUUUCUGAAAAUAACACUCUUUUGGAUUAUAACGCAUUUCUUUGGAUGAAUAUACAGUGCCAAAGAACAAAAUGAAGCUGGGUCUCUUUACUGUGUUGUUGUUUGCCAUGCAGUGGAGAGGUAGCAUGAUAACAGCAGGACAUGAAAACCCCAUAUCAUGUUGUAGAGAAACCAGCAAAUACAGGGUCAGAGUUGAAAAGAUUGUGAGCUAUGUGUAUCAAGCUGAACCACUAUGCCCUAUCAAAGCUAUAAGGUUUAAUUUGGUACAUAGCAAAACAAUAUGCUCUAAUCCAGCAGAUCCUUGGGCCAAACAUGCCAUAAAGGAACUGGAUAGAAGAACAACCACAAAAGCGCUCGAUACCCCACCAUCAACGGCGGUACUUGGAUUCCCCAUAUCAUGUUGUACAGAAACCAAGCGAACCAAUGUCAGAGUUGAAAAAAUUGUGAACUAUGUGCAUCAAGAUUAUCCACAAUGCCCUAUCAAAGCUGUAAGGUUUAAUCUGGUAAACAGCAUAACAGUAUGCUCUAAUCCAGAGGAUCCUUGGGCCAAACAUGCCAUAAAGGUAGUGGAUAGUCGACCACAAACACAAAAAUGCCCAAUACCCCAUCGACUUCUAUAAGCUGUACAACAACUACUACAAGCACAUCUACACCAGGAAUAAGUCCAACAAAUACAAUAACCACGACAACACCUAAAGGAACAUCAACUACAUGGAAAACAACAACAUACAUCACUCAUACAUCUUCGACCAAACAACCACUUGGACAACAACUGCCUCAAUGGACAACAACGCAAAUUAUGACAGCAAAGAUGACUACUACUACGGCUAGGAAGCCAGUGAUAACUGAUAACAAGACGACUUCCACGACUAUAAACAGCUAUACAAACUAUACAGAAACAACUAUAACACCACCAACCACAAGUACAACAUCCAUCAAACAUAUAUUACUGAUACCAGAGCAAUCUAGGACAACUACCAAGUUACCACUAUGGCCAAUAAUGCCAAGCAACACUGAGAGAUCAUUAAAUGACAGAAAGAGCACCUCAAGAACACCCAAUAAUACACCAACACAAAUGUCUACAAGUUUGACCACUGAAAAAUGGAGAGAAUCCACUAUAUCACCUACACCUAUACCAGAGACAUAUAAAUAUACAAAAAGCACAGUGACCAUGACUGACAGCACACAAUCUACAACAUACAUCAAUCAUACAUCACUGAUGACGGAAUCUUCUCGGAAAAUCAAAACGCAAAACACCAAAAAACCAGAAUCUAAUGAAAAUAGAAAGCAAAAGACGAUCGUGAUAUCCCAAAUACCAGAGAAGGAAAGGGAAGCACUGGACUGGACAGAACAUUUUUGUCAGUGGUCAGAGAUACAAGAAACACGGUAUUGUUCCUUUUACUAUGAUUAGCCUGAAUUUAUUUAUGAUUUUCUAGUCACACGGUUUUGGAGAUUUACUGAAAAGUAUGCACAUUUGUAAAUUAGUCUUUUAAUGCUUAAUAUAAAUGUAACAUUAUGCUUAUUUAUGCCACGAUCAAGCCAAUAAACCUGUAUGACUAAAAUGAGGGGACUAUUAAAAAAAUUUUUUUUAGAAUAAUUAGAAAUGUUAGCUUGUG